rnacentral:rRNA from 1 species
UAGUAGUCAUAUGUUAGUAUUCAAGAUUCAGCCAAGCAUGUGUAAGUGUAAAUAUACUAGUUUGGAACUGCGAAUGGCUCAUUAUAUCAGUUAUAGUUUAUUUGGUGAAGUGUACUACUUGGAUACCCGUAGUAAUUCUAGGGCUAAUACAUGAGAAAGUCCUCUGGUGAGGUGUGUUUAUUAGAAUGAAAACCAUAUGCUUCGGCAUGAUAGUGAGUAAUAGUAACCUAUCGUAUCGCAUGCUUAAUGUAGCGAUGAGUCUUUCAAGUUUCUGCCCUAUCAGCUUUCGAUGGUAGUAUAUGGGCCUACCAUGGCAGUAACGGGUAACGAAGAA